AGCCAUAUGACGUUGAUAUACCGAUUCCCGUACGAUCACCGAAGUUAAGCAACAUCGAACCUGGUCAGAAUCUAGAUGAGUGACCGCUUGGGAAUACCAGGUACUGUAAG